rnacentral:misc_RNA from 1 species
UCCGGCUUAUCACCGGCAGUUUCUUUAGAGUGCCCAACUAAAUGGUAGCAACUAAAGACGAGGGUUGCGCUCGUUGCGGGGCUUAACCCAACAUCUCACGACACGAGCUGACGACAGCCAUGCAGCACCUGUCUCCGGUCCAGCCGAACUGAAAGGCUCCAUCUCUGGUGCCCGCGACCGGGAUGUCAAAGGUUGGUAAGGUUCUGCGCGUUGCUUCGAAUUGAACCACAUGCUCCACCGCUUGUGCGGGCCCCCGUCAAUUCCUUUGAGUUUCAUUCUUGCGAGCGUACUCCCCAGGUGGGAUGCUUAACGCGUUAGCUUAGGCACUGCCCCAAAGAACGGGGCAACACCGAGCAUCCAUCGUUUACAGCGUGGACUAC